rnacentral:rRNA from 1 species
CAAUAGCGUAUAUUUAAGUUGCUGCAGUUAAAAAGCUCGUAGUUGGAUUUCGGGUGGGAAUGGCCGGUCCGCCGUUUCGGUGUGCACUUGCUACGCCCACCUUGCUGCCGGGGACGUGCUCUUGAGUUCACGCUCGGGACACGGAGUCGGCGAGGUUACUUUGAGUAAAUUAGAGUGUUCAAAGCAGGCCUACGCUCUGAAUACAUUAGCAUGGAAUAACACGAUAGGACUCUGGCCUAUCUUGUUGGUCUGUAGGACCGGAGUAAUGAUUAAGAGGGACAGUCGGGGGCAUUCGUAUUUCGUUGUCAGAGGUGAAAUUCUUGGAUUUAUGAAAGACGAACUACUGCGAAAGCAUUUGCCAAGGAUGUUUUCAUUAAC